AGAGUUUUAAGUUAAAUUAAACUAAAAGUUUUCAAGACUUUAAAUAGAUAAUUAUAUUUAAAUUCUG